rnacentral:rRNA from 1 species
AAGGAGUCUAACAUGUGUGCGAGUCUUAGGGUGAUUGAAACCCACAGGCACAAUGAAAGUAAAGGCUGAUUGCAGCUGAAGUGAGAUCUCUUUGCCACGGCAGAGAGCGCAUCAUUGACCGACCUAUUCUACUCCUAGAAAGGUUUGAGUAAGAGCACAUCUGUUGGGACCCGAAAGAUGGUGAACUAUGCUUGAGUAGGGCGAAGCCAGAGGAAACUCUGGUGGAGGCUCGUAGCGAUUCUGACGUGCAAAUCGAUCGUCAAACUUGAGUAUAGGGGCGAAAGACUAAUCGAACCAUCUAGUAGCUGGUUCCCUCCGAAGUUUCCCUUAGGAUAGCUGGAACUCGGAACAGUUUUAUCAGGUAAAGCGAAUGAUUAGAGGUCUUAGGGUUGAAACAACCUUAACCUAUUCUCAAACUUUAAAUUGGUAAGAAGCCCGACUUGCUUAAUUGAAGUAGGGCACAGAAUGAGAGUUCUUAGUGGGCCAUUUUUGGUAAGCAGAACUGGCGAUGCGGGAUGAACCGAACGCUGAGUUAAGGCGCCUAAAUCGACGCUCAUCAGACCCCACAAAAGGUGUUGGUUGAUCCAGACAGCAGGACGGUGGCCAUGGAAGUCGGAAC